rnacentral:rRNA from 1 species
UAUAUCUUCAAACUUUGACCUCAAAUCAGGUAGGACUACCCGCUGGACUUAAGCAUAUCAAUAAGCGGAGGA